rnacentral:rRNA from 1 species
AUACGGAGGAUGCAAGCGUUAUCCGGAUUUAUUGGGUUUAAAGGGUGCGUAGGCGGUUUGCUAAGCGGGAGGUGAAAUGCCGGCGCUCAACGUCGGAAGUGCCUCCCGAACUGGUGGACUGGAAUGACUCUGCCGUGGGAGGAAUGUGUAGUGUAGCGGUGAAAUGCUUAGAGAUUACACAGAACACCGAUUGCGAAGGCAUCUCACGAAGGGUUGAUUGACGCUGAGGCACGAAAGCGUGGGGAUCAAACAGGAUUAGAUACCCUGGUAGUCCACGCAGUAAACGAUGAUGGCUAACCGCUGGUUUAUUCGGAUCAGUGGCCAAGCGAAAGCGAUAAGCCAUCCACCUGGGGAGUACGACCGCAAGGUUGAAACUCAAAUGAAUCGACGGGG